rnacentral:rRNA from 1 species
GACGAACGCNGGCGGCGUGCUUAACACAUGCAAGUCGAACGAAGAGCGAUGGAAGCUUGCUUCUAUCAAUCUUAGUGGCGAACGGGUGAGUAACGCGUAAUUAACCUGCCCUUCAGAGGGGGACAACAGUUGGAAACGACUGCUAAUACCGCAUACGAUCUAAUCUCGGCAUCGAGGAUAGAUGAAAGGUGGCCUCUACAUGUAAGCUAUCACUGAAGGAGGGGAUUGCGUCUGAUUAGCUAGUUGGAGGGGUAACGGCCCACCAAGGCGAUGAUCAGUAGCCGGUCUGAGAGGAUGAACGGCCACAUUGGGACUGAGACACGGCCCAGACUCCUACGGGAGGCAGCAGUGGGGAAUCUUCCGCAAUGGACGAAAGUCUGACGGAGCAACGCCGCGUGAGUGAUGACGGCCUUCGGGUUGUAAAGCUCUGUUAAUCGGGACGAAAGGCCUUCUUGCGAAUAGNGAGAAGGAUGA